rnacentral:lncRNA from 1 species
AUGGAACACAGGACACACAGUUUUGUUUUCAUACAAAACUUCUAUACCAAGAAAAUAUUUCAAAAUUCCUAAGUCUUUAAUUCUAAAAGUUUCAUGCAAAAUAUGUUUAAUACGCUUGAUUUCAACUUCAGAAUUACCAGUUAUCACGAUAUCAUCGACAUAAACAAGUAAAAACACAGUUAUCUCAGAUUUAGACAUCAUAAACAGAGAAUGAUCACACUUACUUUGCACAUAACCAUUUUUAAUUAAAACACUUGUAAGCCUCUCAUUCCACUUUCUAGGUGCUUGUUUAAGUCCAUACAAGGACUUAACAAGUUUACAAACUUUGGUUUCACUUUUUGAAUAAUAACCUUGAGGAAGUUUCAUGUAAACAUCCUCACUAAUAGUACCAUGUAAAAAAGCAUUAUCUACAUCAAGUUGGUAUAAAGACCAACCAUAAAACACAGCAAGAGUAAUAACAGUUCUAACUGUUACCAUCUUAACAACAGGUGAGAAUGUCUCACCAAAAUCAAGUCCUUCUCUUUGGUUAAAGCCUUUGGCAACAAGCCUGGCUUUAAACCGUUCAAUCUCCCCAUUUGAUCUAUAUUUUACCCGAUAUACCCACUUACACCCAAUAGGCUUUCGACCUUGAGGAAGAUCAGCCAAAAUCCAGGUAUUAUUCCUGAACAAAGCAUCCAUCUCUUUGUUCAUGGCUUCUACCCAUCUGGGAUCACUAGCAGCUUCCUCAUAAGUUGAAGGCUCAAUAGUUUUAUUAAGAGUAGAGGUAAAACAUCUAUUUUCAACAGAUAAACACGAAUAACUAACAACUUUGUUCAAACUAUACUUAGUUUUACUAUUUAACACAUAGUUUUCAAAUCUUUUAGGUAAUACAGAUUUUCUACUUGACCUUCUAAAAGAAGGACUUGUUCCCUCAGAUGGGUUAACCUCUUCAUUUGAGACACUAGUGCCCUCUGCCCUACCACAUCCUUCACUACUACUACUUCCAGUUCCAGGAUCAAAAUGUUGGUGAUCAACAUUAACAUUCUCUGGAACGGCAGAUGUAGAGGGGACUGGUUGCUGAUCACCACCAGAAACCUCAUAAGGUUUAUGACUCCCCUCUUCAUCAUCGGGAACAGCAGAACUGACUGUUAAUAUUUCAGCAUUAUCAAAAAAAUUUAAAUGAUUCAAUUCAGU